rnacentral:sRNA from 1 species
AUGAGCAAGAGGGUUGGCAUCAUCGGAGCUGGAGUCAGUGGCUUGGCUGCCAUACGGUGCUGUCUGGAGGAGGGGUUGGAGCCCACUUGCUUUGAAAGGAGCAAUGAUGUUGGAGGCCUGUGGAAAUUCUUGGACCACACAGAAGAAGGCAGAGCCAGCAUUUACCAGUCUGUAUUCACGAACUCUUUCAAAGAAAUGAUGUGCUUUCCAGACUUCCCUUACCCGGAUGGUUACCCAAACUAUAUGCACCACAGCAAGCUCCAGGAAUAUAUAAAGACAUAUGCUCAAAAGAAGGAUCUUUUAAGAUACAUACAGUUUGAGACCUUGGUUUCCAGUAUAAAGAAAGGUCCCAGCUUCUUAGUCACGGGCCAAUGGGUUGUUGUUACUGAAAAGGAUGGGAAACAGGAAUCUACUAUUUUUGAUGCUAUAAUGAUUUGUUCAGGACAUCACGUAUACCCCAAUCUGCCAACUGAUUCCUUUCCUGGCCUGGACCAGUUUCGAGGCAACUACCUCCAUAGCCGGGAUUAUAAGAAUCCAGAUGCCUUCAUAGGGGAAGAGGGUCCUCGUGAUUGGUCUAGGGAAUUCGGGAUCUGACAUUGCUGUUGAGCUCAGCCAUCUGGCUACACAGGUCAUUUUCAGUACCAGAAGUGGUUCCUGGGUCAUGAGUCGGGUCUGGGAUGAUGGCUAUCCUUGGGAUAUGAUGUAUGUUACCCGCUUUGCAUCCUUUCUCCGGAAUGUCCUUCCUUCAUUCGUCUCUGACUGGUUAUAUGUCCAGAAGAUGAACACGUGGUUUAAGCAUGAGAGCUAUGGCCUGAUGCCUUUAAAUGGUUCCCUGAGAAAAGAGCCUGUGUUCAAUGAUGAGCUCCCAUCCCGCAUCGUGUGUGGCACUCCGUCCAUCAAGCCCAGUGUGAAGGAGUUCACGGAAACCUCAGCUGUGUUUGAGGAUGGGACCGUGUUUGAGGCUAUCGACUCCGUCAUCUUUGCAACAGGCUAUGAUUAUUCCUACCCCGCCUUGAUGAGACCAUCAUGAAAAGCAGAAACAAUGAGGUUACCUUGUUUAAAGGCAUCUUCCCCCCACUAAGGGAGAAGCCAACCUUGGCUGUGAUUGGCUUGGUUCAGUCCCUUGGAGCUGCCAUCCCCAUAGCAGACCUGCAAGCCCGGUGGGCUGCUAAAGUAUUUGCAAACUCAUGUACCCUGCCAACCAUGAAUGAAAUGAUGGAUUACAUUGAUGAGAAAAUGGGGAAAAAAUUCAAGUGUAUGUUCUUUCUUCAGGUUUGGCCAGAGCCAGACUUUGCAGACAGAUUACAUCACAUAUAUGGAUGAGCUGGGCUCUUUCAUAGGGGCCAAGCCUAACAUACCAUGGCUCUUCCUGACAGAUCCCCACCUGGCCCUGGAGGUGUACUUUGGCCCUUGCAGCCCAUACCAGUUUCGACUGAUGGGACCAGGGAAGUGGGAUGGGGCCAGAAAUGCCAUCCUGACCCAAUGGAAAUGGACAGUGAAGCCAACCAGGACAAGAGUUGUCAGUGAAGCUCAGCGACCCCAUCCCUUUUACAAUUUGCUUAAAAUGCUUUCAUUCCCAUUACUCCUUCUGGCUGUUACACUUACAUUUUAUUAA